rnacentral:tRNA from 1 species
AUUUAUAUAACUUAUAUUAGAGUUUAAUAUUGAAGAUAUUAGGGAAGAUGUUUAUCUUGUAAAUA